AAAAAAUGUUUUUUUUUUUAAUGAUGAAAGAAAAACUCCAAUGACACGACAGUGUAACAGUUCAUUGCACUUUGAUGAUUUUAAAAAAGCUGCAGAGCUGAUUGUUAAAACCUGGAAGUUUUCAACCGUGCCAUCUUUGCAUAUCCUCAGAGGGGAAACAUGCACUUCUCAUAGUCAAUUAUGAAAACAAACAAUUCUACUGUAUGUUACCGAAUAUAAUGGUAAUGGACAAAAAGAGUAAAUCAUUGCUGGAUGUAAAGAAGCUUUCUUGGUGUGCAGGUCUGCAAUGGUUAGACAGCAUCUCUUAACAUCUGAUGAUGAGUAUUUUCCAAAACAAUAAUAGAGAUCAAGGAACAGCUUUGGCACACAUACAGCAGAAAUGAAAAGCAUAAAAGGAAAAACAAACAGGAAAUGGUCCUUUUGAAGACAUGCUCACACUAAAACAUGAGUUUCUUACAAACGCACUCUCAAACUUUUCGCAUCACGUGAAACCGUUUCCACAGAGCAUUCACUUCAACACAGUCACGCACGCUCAUGUUUUUAUAUGACGGCAUUGCAAUGGUUAAUAAAAGCUUGAGGUCCUACAGGAAUAAUCUGCAGUAACUCCUUGGUGUUCAGUGUAAAUUAUUCAUACGUGUUCAAUUGCGCUUGGAACAAAAUGAUCCCACUUAAAAUAAUGCAAGUCAGCCCAUAAGCUUUGUUUAUUGGGUGCCAUGUUUCAUUAAAAUAAAUCACAGGUCUGGUUGGGUUGGACUGUGUGUGUGUGUGUGUGUGUGUGUGUGUGUGUGUGUGUGUGUGUGUGUGUGUGUGUGUGUGUGUGUGUGU